rnacentral:misc_RNA from 1 species
GGGGAUGAAUCAUUACCAUAUCCUUCGAAGCAUAAUGAUUUCUAUUCUGCAACUAAAGCUGAAGGAGAGGCACUAGUUAUCAAGUCAAAUGAUACUAAAGGGCUCCUGACCUGCUGCAUUAGGCCUAGCAGUAUUUUUGGCCCUGGCGACAGGUUGUUGGUUCCAUCACUAGUUGCAGCUGCAAGGGCUGGAAAAUCUAAGUUCAUUAUCGGUGAUGGCAACAACAUGUAUGAUUUCACAUACGUAGAGAAUGUCGCACAUGCUCAUGUAUGUGCCGAACGAGCUCUUGCAUCAGGGGGUGCAGUUGCAGAAAAA